rnacentral:rRNA from 1 species
UACGGAGGAUGCAAGCGUUGUCCGGAUUUAUUGGGUUUAAAGGGUGCGUAGGCGGCCUAUAAAGUUCGUGGGGAAACCGUCCGGUUUAACCGGGUACCCGCCAUUGAUACUGAUAGACUUGAGUGCGACAGAGGGUGUUGGAAUGUGUGGGGUAGCGGUGAAAUGCUUAGAUAUCACGCAGAACACCAAUUGCGAAGGCAGAUGCCUAUGUCGUAACUGACGCUGAGGCACGAAAGCGUGGGGAGCAAACAGG